rnacentral:rRNA from 1 species
UACGUCGGGGGCGAGCGUUGUCCGGAAUGACUGGGCGUAAAGGGCGUGUAGGCGGUCUUUUAAGUCUGGAGUGAAAGUCCUGCUUUUAUGGUGGGAAUAGCUUUGGAUACUGGAGGACUGAGUGCGGAAGAGGUAAGUGGAAUUCCCAGUGUAGCGGUGAAAUGCGUAGAGAUUGGGAGGAACACCAGUGGCGAAGGCGACUUACUGGGCCGUAACUGACGCUGAGGCGCGAAAGCGUGGGGAGCGAACA